rnacentral:rRNA from 1 species
GCUGAAUGUGGGGAUAAUUUAUCUUUGUAUUGUAGCUAACGCGUUAAGCACUCCGCCUGGGGACUACGGUCGCAAGACUAAAACUCAAAGGAAUUGACGGGGACCCGCACAAGCGGUGGAGCAUGUGGUUUAAUUCGAUGCUACGCGAAAAACCUUACCACUUUUUGACAUGAAGGUCGUAUCCCUCCUAACAGAGGGAGUCAGUUCGGCUGGACCUUACACAGGUGCUGCAUGGUUGUCGUCAGCUCGUGUCGUGAGAUGUUGGGUUAAGUCCCGCAACGAGCGCAACCCUCAUCCUUAGUUACCAACAGGUAAUGCUGGGCACUCUAAGGAAACUGCCAGUGAUAAACUGGAGGAAGGUGGGGAUGAUGUCAAAUCAGCACGGCCCUUAUAAGGUGGGCUACACACGUGCUACAAUGGCAACUACAAUAGGUUGCGAGACCGCAAGGUUUAGCUAAUCCAUAAAAGUUGUCUCAGUUCGGAUUGUUCUCUGCAACUCGAGAGCAUGAAGUCGGAAUCGCUAGUAAUCGUGGAUCAUCACGCCACGGUGAAUACGUUCUCGGGUCUUGUACACACUGCCCGUCACGCCAUGGGAAUUGGCUUAACUCGAAGCUGGUGUGCUAACCGAAAGGAAGCAGCCAU